rnacentral:rRNA from 1 species
GCUGCACCACCCUGAAUGCACCCGAUCUUGUGUGAUCUUGGAAGCUAAGCAGGGUCAGGCCUGGUUAGUACUUGGAUGGGAGAAGGAUGGUUGGGUACCUAACGUGCACUCAAUAAAUAACAGCA